rnacentral:rRNA from 1 species
GACGAACGCUGGCGGCGUGCUUAACACAUGCAAGUCGAACGAAGUGGCGAACGGGUGAGUAACGCGUAAUCAACCUGCCCUUCAGAGGGGGACCACAGUUGGACACGACUGCUAAUACCGCAUACUGAAGGAGGGGAGUUCGUUGGAUUAGCUAGUUGGAGGGGGAACGGCCAACCAGGGCGAUGCUCAGUAGCCGGUCUGAGAGGAUGAACGGCCACAUUGGGACUGAGACACGGCCCAGACUCCUACGGGAGUCAGCAGUGGGGAAUCUUCCGCAAUGGACGGAAGUCUGACGGAGCAACGCCGCGUGAGUGAUGACGGCUUUCGGGUUGUAAAGCUCUGUUGAUCGGGACGCGGUACCGGAAUAGAAAGCCACGGCUAACUACGUGCCAGCAGCCGCGGUAAUUC